rnacentral:tRNA from 1 species
AAAGGGAGACCUAAUUCAGGUAAGAGACGAAAAAAAAGUAGUCGCUACCAAGAAUCAAUCCCAAAAGGUCGGAGCGAGGCGAAAUUGGCUUUCAAACUAGGUUCUGGGUUCAAACAAGACCCGAAUCAGGAACAAGGGCUAUUAGCUCAGGUGGUUAGAGCGCACCCCUGAUAAGGGUGAGGUCCCUGGUUCGAGUCCAGGAUGGCCCACCUGCACAGGUGGCAAAAACAAGAGAAGCGAGGAAUCAGCACCUUAUCUUACUGACAUAGUAAGAGAGAAUGCUGGCUCUGAGUAAAGAGUCCAGAGGAACCUUGAAAACUGCAUAGAGCUAGGUGAAAAAGCCAAAAAAGAAGACCGCAAG